AAUGGGUAGGUAAACCAUUUAAUUUACUAUUGCUAAUGCUGAAGUUUAAAUGGACGGAACUAUUUUUCUGUUUCGUACUUCAUGUUAUGAAAAUUAUUUAGUUUCAUCUUGCUAAGAUUUAUUGAUGCUGACUUUACAAUAAAUAUAGACGGAUACACACGCAACAACGUUGAAAACCAAACCUAGGUAAAUAUGUUCUUGUGGUUGCAUAUAUACAAAAAAGUUGAGUUUUGGCUAGAGACUCGGUUGAAAACUAACAGCUGCGUAAUAAUAACAAUACAUCUAUUAUGU